ensembl:lncRNA
UCGUGCCCGGGGGGGGACACGCGGGGGGGCCUCGGGGUGUCGGGCAGAGCCUGCAACAUCUGCUGGCUGUGAGGUGUCGUUUCCUCGGCUGCCCGUGCUCCGAGCGCGGCCCCGACCAGGAUGCUCUCUGGUAAUGACCUUAUGCAAACGCCGGACGGUAAAUUCAUUCAAAUUCACCUUGGCUCCUUCUUUUUCUUUUUUUUUUUCUUUUUUUUCCUCCUCUCCCUCCCCCCCCCAGUACUAUGAGAUGUCGUACGGUUUGAAUAUUGAGAUGCACAAGCAGAUUAUCCCAACUCCCUUUUCUCUGUCGCUUCUGCCCGGCCAGAGGUGUCCGUGCGAGGCCGCGCCGCCUCGGGUGCCUUGGGUCGCGGCGCGGCCCGGGAUGCCCCCGCGUGCAGGAUCGGUGCCUGCUGCCCUUGGAGAGCUCUGCCAGCCUUGCUCUGGAGGGCCGGUGCGUUUUGUCGCCUGCUCGCUUGGUGCCGUGAUGGCUCGGCCCCACGCAGGUGUUGAAACAUCGCUCUUUUUGCUGAUGGGAGCUUUGGAAAGCAGCUGCCGCUCUCUGAGACGCGCGGGGUGUUUUGCGCCGGGGAUGGCUGCCUACAAAGCCCUGCUCCGGGAGGGGUUGCGCUGCCGGACGGGGGCUGGUCGCUGGCCUUGGCUUCGUGGUGCGUUGAUGGGAUGCUCCGCUCCUUCCGUGCCAUGACGCGUAGCCGUGCGUCGCGCCUUCCCCGUUGGCCUCAGGUCUGGGGCGGUUUCGGAGGUCACGGAGGAGCCCCGCUGCACCCACGGGUGCUUUUUGGCAGGGAGGCAGGGGUUGCCCUCUCCAUCUCCCGCCUGGGUGCUGCAGGAUGGCAGCGAGGGCCGGCGUCAGCACCCUGGCGCUGGGGACCCCGAGACGUGCCGGGGGCUCCCCCGUCGGCGCGAACCGCAGCGGGCGAGCGUUCCCGGGGUGCCCCCAGCCCGCGCCGCGCAUCCCCGCCCGCGCGCGUUGCUCCCGGUGCCAUAUGCUGCGCGCCUCGCGCUCGCUGAGUGUUUUUGGGGAGGCGAAGGCGUCUCCUGCUUCGAUUGACAGCGGCGUGCGUGGUGCCGGAGGAAAACAAAGCGGCGAGCCCGGCGCGCUUCCAGGCCAAAACGGGGUGGGAACGGGCACGGGGAUGGGGCCGGGAGCCAGGACCCCGGGGGGGCUGAGCCCCUCCUGGGCUGCCGCGUGCCCACGGCGGGUAGCCCCGUGCCCACGUCGGGCAGCCCGUGCCCACCCGAGCCCGGCGUGGCCGUGGCGGGUCGGAGCAAACAAGUUUUAUCGGCUGACCUGUUCAGCGGUUGACUCGUGUUUAUCCGCGCACAAUCAAGUAGGCUGAAGUGCCUGAAUUAUUCAUGCGGUGUCCUGCCCUCCAGACUUGACUGCUUGUGAUUACAUCUGCUUGAGACAAACAUUGAUGGAUACUUCAUCUUUAAGCAAAAGGGGAUUGUCUGUCUGUGGGCUUAUAUAACAGAUUAUCUCUUCUACGCUGAAUAUUAAGCGCGUGCAUAUGCGCCCGGGUGUGCGUUUUUUGUUUUUUUUUUGUUUCCCCCCUUUCUUCUCGUUUUGUUUCUUGUUAGGAGAAAAAUGCAGUUUCAUAAACAACUCCAUAUGCAAGGAAAUAUUUAGGAAGUGACUACCCACUUUGUUGCAUGUCAGGCAGUCAAUCGCUCCUUACAUCGGU